rnacentral:rRNA from 1 species
GACGAACGCUGGCGGCGUGCUUAACACAUGCAAGUCGAGCGGUAAGGCCCUUUCGGGGGUACACGAGCGGCGAACGGGUGAGUAACACGUGGGUGACCUGCCCUCAGCUCUGGGAUAAGCCUGGGAAACCGGGUCUAAUACUGGAUAUGACUCCAUGACGCAUGUUGUGGGGUGGAAAGCCUUGUGCGGCUGAGGAUGGGCCCGCGGCCUAUCAGCUUGUUGGUGGGGUGANGGCCUACCAAGGCGACGACGGGUAGCCGGCCUGAGAGGGCGACCGGCCACACUGCGACUGAGACACGGCCCAGACUCCUACGGGAGGCAGCAGUGGGGAAUCUUGCGCAAUGGGCGAAAGCCUGACGCAGCGACGCCGCGUGAGGGAUGACGGCCU